rnacentral:rRNA from 1 species
UACGAAGGGGGCUAGCGUUGCUCGGAAUCACUGGGCGUAAAGGGUGCGUAGGCGGGUUUUUAAGUCAGGGGUGAAAUCCUGGAGCUCAACUCCAGAACUGCCUUUGAUACUGAAGAUCUUGAGUCCGGGAGAGGUGAGUGGAACUGCGAGUGUAGAGGUGAAAUUCGUAGAUAUUCGCAAGAACACCAGUGGCGAAGGCGGCUCACUGGCCCGGUACUGACGCUGAGGUGCGAAAGCAUGGGGAGCGAACGGGG